rnacentral:rRNA from 1 species
GACGAACGCUGGCGGCGUGCUUAACACAUGCAAGUCGAACGGAAAGGCCCUGCUUUUGUGGGGUGCUCGAGUGGCGAACGGGUGAGUAACACGUGAGUAACCUGCCCUUGACUUUGGGAUAACUUCAGGAAACUGGGGCUAAUACCGGAUAGGAGCUCCUGCUGCAUGGUGGGGGUUGGAAAGUUUCGGCGGUUGGGGAUGGACUCGCGGCUUAUCAGCUUGUUGGUGGGGUAGUGGCUUACCAAGGCUUUGACGGGUAGCCGGCCUGAGAGGGUGACCGGCCACAUAGGGACUGAGAUACGGCCCAGACUCCUACGGGAGGCAGCAGUGGGAAAUCUUGCACAAUGGGCGGAAGCCUGAUGCAGCAACGCCGCGUGCGGGAUGACGGCCUUCGGGUUGUAAACCGCUUUCGCCUGUGACGAAGCGUGAGUGACGGUAAUGGGUGAAGAAGCACCGGCUAACUACGUG